rnacentral:lncRNA from 10 species
GAGGGAAUGGUUUCAUCACUCUUUUCCUGCACGACUCAGACCUGAGAGAAAAGAAGAGGGAAUUGGCAGAAAUAGAAGGCGGCAGGGACGCUCUCUCACUUGUUCCCUGCAGUCAUGCCUGCCAUUCCGCAACUCAAGCAGGAGAAAAACCCAGGAGUGGGGUGGCGUAGGCGGGGCCACCACAAGGAGCCCGUGCAUCAGGGGGCGCAGGCUGUUUCUGGAUCAUUCCACUGGGAAGGGGACAAAACCCAUCUUUUAUGACCCAUGUUCAGUUCUCAGUUGGAGUCAGAUGAGGAAGAGAAUGCCCAGCAAGGUAAAAUGGCAGAGCUAAGAUGCAAACAAACUCAGGGAACCCAGUCUAAGUCACGAUCCAUUCUGGAAGACCUUAACACUUUCCACUGACUGUGAGAGCUGCCGAAUACAUUUUGACCCAUGGGUGGUUCCUGUCCUUGGUGAUUCCCCGACCUCUGGUGAGAUCUUUUCCUCUCUGGCAAGCCUCUGGAUGUUCUGACUUCAGAGGGGUUCUGGCUGCAGCUUUAACUCAGCCAUAUGUUGUGACAGCUCUUGGAGCAGCAUUACACGGGAGCAAUAUCCUUCCUGCUAAUUGGAUCUCAGAAUUCAUUUUCGGACCAAAGACAUCAAAUAAACCCAGGAAAUACGAAGCCGUUUGCAGUUAUGACUUGAGACGAAUUGAGUUGUUCAUCCUCUAAAGUUGUGUUCUGUUCCUUAUCAGCCUCAUCUGAAAUCUCAGACACAAAAGCAGAGAUGUUUCUGCCAGGAGGGGCGGAAAGUUCGGUCUGGUUUUGAUAUGUGUCUGGAGAUGAUAAACUUGGGAAGGGAAAUAUAGCAGAUCCAAUCCUCCCUCCCCCAUCUCCAUUAGGUCUUUGGCCUUGAUAGAUUUCAAUAUCCUGUGCAGCUGAUGUCUGACCCACGCAUCAAGAAUACAGCCUUCACACACCUGCCGUGAGAAGCCCUCUAUGACCUUCUGCAGAGGGAGGGAACUGCCUAAGAGCUGCUGAGUGCAGGAAUGCAGGGUGCUAAGAAGCAGGUACCCAGUUUGGGGUUAAAAUAUGUAUAAUAUAUCCAUUUGAAUACCCAUCAAUAAAUAUCAGUCAUGCUCACUUUUGGGUGCUGGGGGUUAUUGGAGAUAUUGAUUCAUUUGUUUUAUGAGUGG